AGAGUUUGAUCCUGGCUCAGAACGAACGCUGGCGGCGCGUUUUAAGCAUGCAAGUCGCGGGAGAAAUAAGUGCUUGCACUUAUGGAAACCGGCGCACGGGUGAGUAACACGUGAGAAUCUACCUCGAGGCGGGGGACAGCUCAUGGAAACAUGGGGUAAUACCGCGUAUGACUACGGUUGAAAGAUGCAAUUACAUCGCCUUGAGAUGAGCUUGCGGUCCAUUAGCUAGUUGGCAGGGUAAAUGCCUACCAAGGCUACGAUGGAUAGCCGGCCUGAGAGGGUGAACGGCCACAUUGGGACUGAGACACGGCCCAGACUCCUACGGGAGGCAGCAGCUAAGAAUCUUCCGCAAUGGGAGCAAUCCUGACGGAGCGACGCCGCGUGGACGAUGAAGGCGGAAACGUUGUAAAGUCCUUUUAUAAGGGAAGAAUAAUGCAGGUAGUGGAAAGCUCUGCAGAUGACGGUACCUUAUGAAUAAGCCUCGGCUAACUACGUGCCAGCAGCCGCGGUAAUACGUAGGAGGCAAGCGUUGUUCGGAUUUAUUGGGCGUAAAGGGUACGCAGGCUGUUUUGCAAGUGUGGAUUGAAAGACCGGAGCUUAACUCCGUGUUUGGUCUGCAAACUGCAUGACUAGAGUUCAGAAGGGGAGAUUGGAAUUCCGUGUGUAAGGGUAAUAUCUGUAGAUAUGCGGAAGGAUACCUGUGGCGAAGGCGAAUCUCUGGUCUGUGACUGACGCUGAGGUACGAAAGUGUGGGGAGCGAACAGGAUUAGAUACCCUGGUAGUCCACACCGUAAACGUUGUACACUAGGUGUUGAAGAAUCCUAGUGCCGAAGCUAACGCAUUAAGUGUACCGCCUGGGGAGUAUGUCGGCAACGAUGAAACUCAAAGGAAUUGACGGGGGCCCGCACAAGCGGUGGAGCAUGUGGUUUAAUUCGAUAUACGCGAAGAACCUCACCAGGACUUGACAUUCAGUUGACCGCCUGAGAGAUCAGGCUUUUCUUCGGAACAGCUGAACAGGUGCUGCAUGGUUGUCGUCAGCUCGUGUUGUGAGAUGUUGGGUUAAGUCCCGCAACGAGCGCAACCCCUAUUGCUAGUUACCAUCAGAUAAUGCUGGGGACUCUAGUGAAACUGCCGGUGACAAACCGGAGGAAGGUGGGGAUGACGUCAAAUCCUCAUGGCCCUUAUGUCCUGGGCUACACACGUGCUACAAUGGGCUGUACAGAGGGUAGCAAAACCGCGAGGUCAAGCCAAUCCCAAAAAGCAGUCCGUAGUUCGGAUUGGAGUCUGCAACUCGACUCCAUGAAGCUGAAUCGCUAGUAAUCGCAGAUCAGCAUGCUGCGGUGAAUACGUUCCCGGGCCUUGUACACACCGCCCGUCACACCACCCGAGUCGAGGAUACCCAAAGUUAUUACCCUAACCUUCGGGAGGGGGGUACCUAAGGUAUGUUUGGUAAGGGGGGUGAAGUCGUAACAAGGUA
rnacentral:rRNA from 1 species